AGUAAGUAAAUAAAUAUUUUGAAUUACCUAUAUAUUGAUGAUGAUCACCGAUAAAAACGAUGUGAUCUUUUAAAACGUUUGGUUGCUUUGUAUACAAGCCGAAGUUUUGUAAUUGUUUGUUAUCAGCACGUUGCUUUGCUAUUUUAUAUAACCAUUUAGGUAGCAUAAACUUGGUAGAAUAC
rnacentral:sRNA from 1 species